rnacentral:rRNA from 1 species
AGAAUCAACGCUGGCGGCGUGCCUAACACAUGCAAGUCGAACGCGAAAGUCCCGCAAGGGAUUAGUAGAGUGGCAAACGGGUGAGUAAUACGUGGUGACCUGCCUUCGAGUGGGGGAUAACGUCCCGAAAGGGACGCUAAUACCGCAUGACAUCCUGCCUUUGAAGAGGUGGAGCUUAAAGCCGGGAUCGCAAGACCUGGCGCUUGAAGAGGGCCCGCGCCUGAUUAGCUAGUUGGUGAGGUAAUGGCUCACCAAGGCAUCGAUCAGUA